UACGAAGGGGGCUAGCGUUGUUCGGAAUUACUGGGCGUAAAGCGCGCGUAGGCGGUGAUCUUUGUCAGAGGUGAAAUCCCGGGGCUCAACUCCGGAAUUGCCUUUGAAACGGGAUUGCUUGAGUCCGAGAGAGGAUGGCGGAAUUCCUAGUGUAGAGGUGAAAUUCGUAGAUAUUAGGAAGAACACCGGUGGCGAAGGCGGCCAUCUGGCUCGGUACUGACGCUCAGGCGCGAAAGCGUGGGGAUCAAACAGGAUUAGAUACCCUGGUAGUCCACGCCGUAAACGAUGAGUGCUAGUUGUUGGGGGGGUUACCUCUCAGUGACGCAGCUAACGCGUUAAGCACUCCGCCUGGGGAGUACGGUCGCAAGAUUA
rnacentral:rRNA from 1 species